GACGGCGGGGGCUAGCGUUGUUCGGAAUUACUGGGCGUAAAGGGCGCGCAGGCGGCUGCUCAAGUCAGGCGUGAAAGGCCUGGGCUCAACCCGGGAAUUGCGCUUGAGACUGGGCUGGCUUGAGUGCGGGAGAGGAUGGUUGAAUUCCCAGUGUAGAGGUGAAAUUCGUAGAUAUUGGGAAGAACACCGGUGGCGAAGGCGGCCAUCUGGACCGCAACUGACGCUGAGGCGCGAAAGCGUGGGGAGCAAACAGG
rnacentral:rRNA from 1 species